rnacentral:rRNA from 1 species
AUGAACGCUGGCGGCGUGCCUAAUACAUUCAAGUCGAGCGAACAGACGAGGAGCUUGCUCCUCUGACGUUAGCGGCGGACGGGUGAGUAACACGUGGAUAACCUACCUAUAAGACUGGGAUAACUUCGGGAAACCGGAGCUAAUACCGGAUAAUAUCUUGAACCGCAUGGUUCCAUAGUGAAAGACGGUUUUGCUGUCACUUAUAGAUGGAUCCGCGCCGCAUUAGCUAGUUGGUAAGGUAACGGCUUACCAAGGCGACGAUGCGUAGCCGACCUGAGAGGGUGAUCGGCCACACUGGAACUGAGACACGGUCCAGACUCCUACGGGAGGCAGCAGUAGGGAAUCUUCCGCAAUGGGCGAAAGCCUGACGGAGCAACGCCGCGUGAGUGAUGAAGGUCUUCGGAUCGUAAAACUCUGUUAUUAGGGAAGAACAAAUGUGUAAGUAACUAUGCACGUCUUGACGGUACCUAAUCAGAAAGCCACGGCUAACUACGUG